rnacentral:rRNA from 1 species
UGGGGAAUCUUGGACAAUGGGGGCAACCCUGAUCCAGCCAUGCCGCGUGAGUGAUGAAGGCCUUAGGGUCGUAAAGCUCUUUCGCCUGUGAAGAUAAUGACGGUAGCAGGUAAAGAAACCCCGGCUAACUCCGUGCCAGCAGCCGCGGUAAUACGGAGGGGGUUAGCGUUGUUCGGAAUUACUGGGCGUAAAGCGCACGUAGGCGGACCAGAAAGUUGGGGGUGAAAUCCCGGGGGCUCAACCCCGGAACUGCCUCCAAAACUAUUGGUCUAGAGUUCGAGAGAGGUGAGUGGAAUUCCAAGUGUAGAGGUGAAAUUCGUAGAUAUUUGGAGGAACACCAGUGGCGAAGGCGGCUCACUGGCUCGAUACUGACGCUGAGGUGCGAAAAGUGUGGGGAGCAAACAGGAUUAGAUACCCUGGUAGUCCACACCGUAAAACGAUGAAUGCCAGUCGUCGGGUAGCAUGCUAUUCGGUGACACACCUAACGGAUUAAGCAUUCC